rnacentral:lncRNA from 10 species
CAGGACUGUUGUUUCCUCUGCUGAAGAGCUGGCUUUGGCUGAAUUCUCUCACCAGCUUUUGGCAACGUCAGAUCUGAGCAUGAUGGCCCAUCCCAGUAGAAGCAAAGCCAUAGCUUGUUGUGGGGACAGAGGUUUUACUUCACUUCAAGGACCUAGACAGUCUCAGUUGCUUAAACCACAUCCAGAAGGCCCCAUGGGAAGUGUCUUCACAGUCAGGUUAAAAGCUUUCUGCUGCACAGUGAGACACCAUCCAGCAAAGGGAAUGAACAUGCUCAACUUUAAGCAACAAUAGGGAUGAAUCUCACCACCGUAUUGUUGUGCAAAAGAAGCCAGACUCCAAAGUAGACAUGCUGCUUGCUUCCAUGUGUAUAACACUCAAAAACAGGAAAAACCAAAAAUUCUGUUAAAAGUCAGCAUAAUCAUUAUUCUUAUACAGAGUCGUCGAUGACAGAAAAUGGGUAUUUGGAGACUUUUAGGGAUAUGGUGGUAUUCUGUUUCUUGAUCUGGAU